CCUAUUACUGCGCGUAUUCUGCCUUAGAGUUUGAUCCUGGCUCAGAUUGAACGCUGGCGGCAGGCCUAACACAUGCAAGUCGAGCGGCAGCACAAGGGAGUUUACUCCUGAGGUGGCGAGCGGCGGACGGGUGAGUAAUGCCUAGGGAUCUGCCCAGUCGUGGGGGAUAACAGUUGGAAACGACUGCUAAUACCGCAUACGCCCUACGGGGGAAAGGAGGGGACCUUCGGGCCUUCCGCGAUUGGAUGAACCUAGGUGGGAUUAGCUAGUUGGUGAGGUAAUGGCUCACCAAGGCGACAAUCCCUAGCUGUUCUGAGAGGAUGAUCAGCCACACUGGGACUGAAACACGGCCCAGACUCCUACGGGAGGCAGCAGUGGGGAAUAUUGCACAAUGGGGGAAACCCUGAUGCAGCCAUGCCGCGUGUGUGAAGAAGGCCUUCGGGUUGUAAAGCACUUUCAGUAGGGAGGAAAGGUUAGUAGUUAAUACCUGCUAGCUGUGACGUUACCUACAGAAGAAGGACCGGCUAACUCCGUGCCAGCAGCCGCGGUAAUACGGAGGGUCCAAGCGUUAAUCGGAAUUACUGGGCGUAAAGCGUGCGCAGGCGGUUUGUUAAGCGAGAUGUGAAAGCCCCGGGCUCAACCUGGGAAUUGCAUUUCGAACUGGCAAACUAUAGUCUUGUAGAGGGGGGUAGAAUUCCAGGUGUAGCGGUGAAAUGCGUAGAGAUCUGGAGGAAUACCGGUGGCGAAGGCGGCCCCCUGGACAAAGACUGACGCUCACGCACGAAAGCGUGGGGAGCAAACAGGAUUAGAUACCCUGGUAGUCCACGCCGUAAACGAUGUCUACUCGGAGUUUGGUGUCUUGAACACUGGGCUCUCGAGCUAACGCAUUAAGUAGACCGCCUGGGGAGUACGGCCGCAAGGCUAAGACUCAAAUGAAUUGACGGGGCCCGCACAAGCAGUGGAGCAUGUGGCUUUAAUUCGAUGCGACGCGAGAUCUUAAUCUACUCUUGACAUCCAAGAGAUUCGCUAGAAGAUAGCUCAGUGCCUUCGGUAACUCUGAGAUCAGUGCUGCAUGACUGUCGACAGCUCGUGCUGUGAAAUGUUGGCUAGUCCCUCACAGGCUCAGCUCUAAUCAGUAUUGCAGCCGCUAAUGCGGUAUCUCUCUUAGGGGAG
rnacentral:rRNA from 1 species